rnacentral:rRNA from 1 species
AGUGAACGCUGGCGGUAGGCCUAACACAUGCAAGUCGAACGGCAGCACAGUAAGAGCUUGCUCUUACGGGUGGCGAGUGGCGGACGGGUGAGGAAUACAUCGGAAUCUACUUUUUCGUGGGGGAUAACGUAGGGAAACUUACGCUAAUACCGCAUACGACCUACGGGUGAAAGCAGGGGAUCUUCGGACCUUGCGCGAUUGAAUGAGCCGAUGUCGGAUUAGCUAGUUGGCGGGGUAAAGGCCCACCAAGGCGACGAUCCGUAGCUGGUCUGAGAGGAUGAUCAGCCACACUGGAACUGAGACACGGUCCCGACUCCUACGGGAGGCCGCAGUGGGGAAUAUUGGACAAUGGGCGAAAGCCUGAUCCAGCCAUACCGCGUGGGUGAAGAAGGCCUUCGGGUUGUAAAGCCCUUUUGUUGGGAAAGAAAAGCAGCAGGUUAAUCCCCCGCUGUUCUGACGGUACCCAAAGAAUAAGCACCGGCUAACUUCGUG